UACGGAGGGUGCAAGCGUUAUCCGGAUUCACUGGGUUUAAAGGGUGCGUAGGCGGGCAGGUAAGUCAGUGGUGAAAUCUCCGGGCUUAACCCGGAAACUGCCGUUGAUACUAUCUGUCUUGAAUAUCGUGGAGGUAAGCGGAAUAUGUCAUGUAGCGGUGAAAUGCUUAGAUAUGACAUAGAACACCAAUUGCGAAGGCAGCUUACUACAUAGUUAUUGACACUGAGGCACGAAAGCGUGGGGAUCAAACAGG
rnacentral:rRNA from 1 species